rnacentral:rRNA from 1 species
GAUCCUGGCUCAGGAUGAACGCUGGCGGCGUGCUUAACACAUGCAAGUCGAACGGGGAAACCUUUUAUUGAAGCUUCGGCGGAUUUAGAUUGUUUCUAGUGGCGGACGGGUGAGUAACGCGUGGGUAACCUGCCUUAUACAGGGGGAUAACAGUCAGAAAUGGCUGCUAAUACCGCAUAAGCGCACAGAGCUGCAUGGCUCCGUGUGAAAAACUACCGUGGUGUAAGAAUGGACCCGGCCGUGGUAGUUAGU